rnacentral:rRNA from 1 species
AUUGAACGCUAGCGGGAUGCUUUACACAUGCAAGUCGAACGGCAGCACGAAAAGAGCUUGCUCUUUUUGGUGGCGAGUGGCGAACGGGUGAGUAAUGUAUCGGAACGUACCCAGUAGCGGGGGAUAACUACGCGAAAGCGUGGCUAAUACCGCAUACGCCCUACGGGGGAAAGGGGGGGAUCGCAAGACCUCUCACUAUUGGAGCGGCCGAUAUCGGAUUAGCUAGUUGGUGGGGUAAAGGCUCACCAAGGCAACGAUCCGUAGCUGGUUUGAGAGGACGACCAGCCACACUGGUACUGAGACACGGCCCAGACUCCUACGGGAGGCAGCAGUGGGGAAUUUUGGACAAUGGGGGAAACCCUGAUCCAGCCAUCCCGCGUGUGCGAUGAAGGCCUUCGGGUUGUAAAGCACUUUUGGCAGGGAAGAAACGGCGCUGACUAAUACUUGGCGCAACUGACGGUACCUGCAGAAUAAGCACCGGCUAACUACGUG